rnacentral:rRNA from 1 species
GAUGAACGCUGGCGGCGUGCCUAAUACAUGCAAGUCGAGCGAACAGACGAGGAGCUUGCUCCUCUGACGUUAGCGGCGGACGGGUGAGUAACACGUGGAUAACCUACCUAUAAGACUGGGAUAACUUCGGGAAACCGGAGCUAAUACCGGAUAAUAUAUUGAACCGCAUGGUUCAAUAGUGAAUGACGGUUUUGCUGUCACUUAUAGAUGGAUCCGCGCCGCAUUAGCUAGUUGGUAAGGUAACGGCUUACCAAGGGAACGAUGCUUAGCCGACCUGAGAGGCUGAUCGGCCACACUGGAACUGAGACACGGUCCAGACUCCUACGGGAGGCAGCAGUAGGGAAUCUUCCGCAAUGGGCGAAAGCCUGACGGAGCAACGCCGCGUGAGUGAUGAAGGUCUUCGGCUCGUAAAACUCUGUUAUUAGGGAAGAACAACUGUGUAAGUAACUAUGCACGUCUUGACGGUACCUAAUCAGAAAGCCACGGCUAACUACGUG